GAAGAGUGAAAAGAUGCAAGAGUGAUACACCCAAGCACUUGAUUUGAGUCAAACAUGGUGUAUCAUGCACCUGUAUCUUGUCGUUCUAUAUUCUCAAGUCUCAACUGCAGAUUCUCAAAGGUUUUAUUCACUCACCAACUCUGGCUUUUGGUGUACACGGUACACCGUGAGGCAAGUACAUUGACAUUUUCAUUUGUUAUCAUGAGUGUCAUGUUUACUCUUGCAGUUCAGUUAUUAAGCUUAUGCUUAAGAUGAUUGUACUGUCUAGAGGUGGAAUGGCUAAGCUCUCUUUAUAAUCCUUUUACUGAAUAUCUUGCAAAUGGCACACUAUAUGAAAGUAUUAAUUAGGUGGGGUAUCACUCCAUUAUGUUCUUAUGUCUAUGGAUCCGCGAAAUGUUGACGCUUUAUUGGUUUUGGUCAGAAAAAUGUUUGGUGUACAUGCUUUCAUCUUGAAUAUAUGUAGCUCUAAAGUAAUACUACUUCCGAGUUA